UCAUGCCUUCGAAAAUAAUUGAACCUCUAAUGAGAGAAUGAUUAGCAUACACCUUUUGAACUAAUGAGUUCAGUAUUGCUGAAAUGGUCGAUAUUAGAUGGGUCAUGAUCCCGGAGGGUGAGCUAGCUCCAGAAAUCCGUCCUCGUUUUGGAUUACAGACUGCAACUCCCCUGCAUGAAGUCGGAAAUCGCUAAUAAUCGUCGGUCAGCCAUACGGCAGUGGAUUCGUUCACUAGGCCAUGGAUGUUAUUGGGCUAAAAGUUGGACGUAGAAAGAACUUGAUCCAUCGAAACUUAAACAAAGGCCCAUAUCUUACGACUAAACAGUAACCAGUCUUUGUUUAAAUAGGCCGAAGUUUGGACUUUGAAACAAUGCCUUAUGGCCCUUAGUCCUUAAUUGGGCCUUUAAAAAAAAGUUCUUCUUAGAGCUCCAUUAUAGGGCCCAUAAGAAACGGCCUGCGCCUCCUAGUUAAACGAAAACGAAACCGGCGUACAAAUAGCCACCGCGUCCGCUGGUUCACAGCAGCAGAUAAGUGAAAGAGAAGCAAGCAUGGCUCUACUGGUUCGGCGUGCUGCUAAGUGAAAGAGAAGCGAGCAUGGCUCUACUGGUUCGGCCUCUGUGGCAAUUGCCGCAGUUAUAUCAACAUUAUUACUCUUGCGCAACCUUAAUGCGUUGCUUCCCUUAUACCCGCCCUCAAUUGCAACCGCGAAAGCAAUCUCUCAUUUCCCAGCGUGCUCUUCACUUGCCGAAGCAUCCAUCAACGUUCGCGCCGGCUCAGAUUGCGCGAUGCUUCACCGCCAUCCAAUCCAGAAGGACCGACGCUAGUGACUCUGUUGGCGAGGAGAGGAACAGCCGGAACCAGAGGACGCGGGAAGCUAAGCGCGCGGUCCAAUGGGGUAUAGAUCUCGCUUCAUUUUCCACACUCCAAAUUAAACGCAUCUUCAGGUAGAUCCGAGAGAUUUUUUUAUUUCUCAUUUUAGCGAGCUACAGGUUGAUACACUGGCGGCUAUUUCUUUGAAGCUUCUCUUGGCAUGACAAUUAACAUAUGACUUGUUUUUGGUUACAUUUGCUUCCGAUGUUAGCAGGGCUUCUCUUGAGCAAGAAGUAUUAGAUGCUAUAAUGCUAGUUAAGGCGCUUCAGUUGGACCAACUCUGUUGUUUGUAAUCUUUCAAUGAUAUGCUGAGUAAACUUUUACAGGCAAGGUUUUUUCUGAAGAUGAGGUGUUUGUUUCUUUGUGGCGGAUAUUAACUAUUAAGGCCUUAUCCCCGUGAAGGAAAACGAAGGCAUUUCAAUUUAAUUGUGGCAUGAGAUUAAUAUCCCUUUAUGUGGAAAAGUUACAUGCAUAUGCAAGUUUAGGCCCUCCUUGGCAGCUGAGUUCGGAGGGGUUCUUGUUGAACCCUCGUUUGGCGUAAUUAAUUCUUGAUGGGAACAUUUUGUUUAUUAUUUCUAAACAACUCCAGUGCACAAGACUCUUGUGGUGGCCGGGGUGGAUGUACGCAGAUCUUACUCCACAUAGAGACUAUUUUCAGGAAUUGAACUUGUGAUCUCUAGGGAAAUUACUACGAGAUGUAGAACCUGAAUUAUUGGACGGUUUAAUUCAGGCUACAAAAGAUGGCGACCUUAGUUGGGUGCAGGCUUUAUCUGGUACAAAGACAUAUAUGUCUGUAGAGGAUGAAGAUUGAAGAAUAUGAAAUAUGAAGAAGCUGAGGAUGAGGAGGUUUUACUUGAGUAUAGUGCCUGAUCAUUAAGGAUGUUACAUUACCAAUGAAGUUUAUUCGGUUCAGAACAUUAAUUUUGACCUUCAGGAGUUGCGCAAACUUGUCUGGAAAGUGCAUACUGUUCAGAAACACCUGGCAAUUGUUGCGGAGGAUGAGAGAGAGGCUGAUGCAGCUGUCCUAGGUGCCACAAAAGUCUCUGAACCGUUUCCUUCGCACACUAGCAAAAGAAAUUUCAAAAUCAUCGCCUGUUGGCUGAUUGGGUUACUGGAGAUUUCAAUCAAACCAUGCCGACCAUUGCCUUUGAUUGAAAAUCAAUAAUAAUAUCCUCGGAGACAAACCUGCCAUGUUGGGUGAUACUGCACGUCUGUUGCUUGAUACGGCAGUUUCUCCUACCAAGAUAAGGUGACUCAUUCACCAUCCCAUCCUGCAUUUCUUUAAUUCCAGAAGCCUUUCUUUUUUUUUUCUUAUACAUGGAAGCCUUGCAUUUGAGUUGCCUAACCUUUAAACCUUUAGUGCUGACUUAGAUUGGUAUCAAUCCUCUGCCUGGAUGAAUUGGUAAAAUUUUGUUUGAUAGAGAACAAGAGAAAUUACUUUAUAUAGUGGGUCAAGAACCACGUUGAAUUUCAACCAAGUAGAAGGAAGAGAAAGAAAUUGGACUUUUCCUUGCUCAGAACAUUUAGCAUAAACUGCUAUCAUGUUUCCAUUAUGAGAGGCCAAAAAUACUUGGCCCCACUAGAGACGAAAUUAGGCACUUGACAAAAGGGAUAAGAUUUUUUUUUUGAGAUAAGAGGAGUAGAUCUACACUACCAAUCAACUUGUGCUGAGAUCAACUCUGCACUAAGAGAGUACGGUGGAACUGAGUUUGGAGGUAUUAUUAUUGCUUUGGUGACUGAUUAGAAGGUAAAUAGUCCAACUAUACGCACAAGUGAAUACACACACUAUCAGGUUAAAAAAAAAAAGAAGUUGUUCUCGUCCGCUAGAGUUGGGUCAAAAAGUGAAAGAUUGAUAAGCUUUGAACGAUGGCCCAUUGUGGGGGGAAAUUGCAUUGGAGGAGGAAUACCCUUGUUUAGGGUUGCCAGUGGUUGUGUAAAUGCUAAUUAAUGUUAGUCGGCUGCUGCAAGAUAUUUUCUUGUUGAGAAGACAACGAAGGCUUAGUGAAAGCAACGAGAAACCAAAAUAGGGCUAAAUGAGCCAAUUUUGUAACCAGAAUUUGAAUAUUGAACUGUUUAGUUCUUCUCAAGGAUUGAAAUUGGGCUGCCUUGGAUCAUUCUGUGGUUUGAAGAGUCACAAACAAGUUGAGGCAUCGAGAGUGACUCCACGACCAAUUAGAUAGAUGAAACAAGUGAAUGAACACCAAUUAUAAAAAUUAUCUUAGCUAGUCCAGUUGUCGAAAUGCAUGUAAUGCAAAUGUUAAACACCGAAAUUUUAGGAUAAAGGCUCGGAUGAUGAUGAGCUUAGGUAGCCCCAGUUGGUGGAGCUAGCAUGCUAAGGUAGCUGAGAUGAUGAAUUGAACACAACUGGUCCAGUCUAAGAUGGUGGCUGCUGUCUGCAAGAUAUUUUUCUUAUUGAGAAGACAACGAAGGCCUAGUGAAAGCAACGAGAACCAAAAUAGGGUUAAAUGAGCCAAUUUUGUAACCAAAUAUUGAACUGUUUAGUUCUUCUCAAGCAUUGAAAUUGGGCUGCCUUGGACCAUUCUGUGGUUUGAAGAGUCACAAACAAGUUGAGGCCUCGCGAGACUCCACGACCAAUUAGAUAGAUGAAACAAGUGAAUCAACACCAAUUAUAAAAAUUAUCUUAGCUAGUCCAGUUGUCGAAAUGCAUGUAAUGCAAAUGUUUCGUAUGAUGUGUGGUCACACAACGAAAGAUAAGAUAAGAAAUAAGAUUAUUAGAUCUAAACUAAGAGUAACACCAAUUGAUGAUAUGUACAAUGUCGAAAUAGCGGUGUGGUUGUGAGGAGAAUUUGAAUAGAAGUGAGUAGGAAGCGAAGAGGAAGACCUAAAAAAACAUGGUUUCAAGUAGUAGGAAAGUAUAUUGGUUCAAUAGGAGUUGAUGAAAAUAUGAUCGUAGAUAUAAAUGCAUGGCGGAAACGUUUCUCAUAUAUUCAUGUAGUCAAACACCGAAAUUUUAGGAUAAAGGCUCGGAUGAUGAUGAGCUUAGGUAGCCCCAGUUGGUGGAGCUAGCAUGCUAAGGUAGCUGAGAUGAUGAAUUGAACACAACUGGUCCAGUCUAAGAUGGUGGCUCGUCUGAAAUGAUCAUAUCUUCACACAUUAAUAACAACUACCUUCAUUUAAAAUUAGACUCGGGGUCCAAUAUAUAAUACAAUAUCUCUUUCGACUAAGUAAAUCUCAGGUAGAUAUUUUCUGGGUGUCUAUGUAUCUUUCAUGUAAUCCAGGAUUCAUGCUUGUGUAGUUGCUUUCUGGUAAGACUAAGUUCAGGGGCAGAAACCUAAUUCUUUGACAAUCUAUGAUUUCAAGAAACAGAAACCAAUAGCAGUUGAACCAAUAACUGAUUUGGAGUUGAAUCUAACACUUACUGUCUCUUAUUUGGUUGAAAUUCCAAUGUUUGGGACAAGGGUUUAGUGAUCGGUGAAGGAAUUAAUGGUCAACAUAAUUGUUUGACCUUGUGAAAAUUGAGAAUAAUAAAACGUGGAUGACUUUUGUAAUGACUAAUUAAGUUAAUGCUGCAAGCCGCAUUUGACUCUGAUUUAGUCCCGCACGGUUAUUUGGAGAAUUCAACUUAUUACUUAUUUUUGUCGUUUUUCACGUUGUGUUGGGUUUUUGGCUCUUAAAAAUCCAACACAAGACCAGGGUGGGGCCAUGCUUCUUCCUCACGUAUUCUAGCCAUUUCUAUCGUUAACUGCAGUGUGCAGAAGGUGCUUGUAAGAGUGGUCAUUGACUCCCAUCCAUAUCGAACUAAUAAAGAACUAUUCGUUUACCAAUGCAAAAAAAAUAGUUGUUGCACUA